rnacentral:misc_RNA from 1 species
UUAAGUUCAGCGGGUAGUCCUACCUGAUUUGAGGUCAAGAAGUUCAUUAAAUGUUGUCCAUACCGGACGAUUAGCAGCUGAACUAGUCAGAGAGCAAUCAUCACAGUGUAGAUAAUUAUCACACUAGUGACGGGACUGCAAACGGUUCCGCUAAUGUAUUUCAGGAGAGCCGACCUUUACUGAUAAAGGACCCGCAAACU